rnacentral:tRNA from 1 species
GUGUAGCUCAGUGGUAGAGCGCAUGCUUAGUGUGCAUAAGACACUGGGUUCAAUUCUCAGUAC